GUAACAAGGUUUCCGUAGGUGAACCUGCGGAAGGAUCAUUAAUGAAUAAAUCUGAUGAGUUGUCGCUGGUUCUUUAGAGGGCAUGUGCACGCUUGUCAUCUUUAUAUCUCCACCUGUGCACUUUUUGUAGACCUGGAUAUCCCUCUGAGUGCCACUGGCGUCACUCAGGUUUGAGGAUUGGCUUUAUGUCUCUCCUUACAUUUCCAGGCCUAUGUUUAUUCAUAUAUGCUUUAGAAU
rnacentral:rRNA from 1 species